ACGGCUGUGAGGAAGUUUGCACUCACAGAUCCCCACAGGCACGGGGCAUUUUAAGCCCCACCAUGCCAGAAAGACCAGGGAUGGUCAGGAAACAAGGAUGUGGGCACCGUGUGGCUGGGACCUUUACUGGGAUUUACGAGGGAAGGAAUAAGCCAGGCAGGUUUACAUUGCUGCUGAUAGAGCUGUUAUUACCGGAAAACAAAAACACAACAAAAACCCUUUGAAAUCUUCUUCGGCAAAUUCUCUCAAUAGAUACCUGGGCUGUCUGUCUGGCUGCUACUUGGCUUCACUUCACAAUAUCCUCUGAAGAGUGACUCACCAAGACCAUCAUUUUAAAAGAUAAAAUAGAAUGUCUUCUUACAUUGGAAGAAGGAAAUGUUUGUCUCUCAAAGUUGCUUUCUAUACGGGCAAAGUAGCUACAUCUAGUGUUUGAAGUAUCAGACAGGAUUAGGAAAUGAAUAACUUUUUAUCCAUACAAGAGAGAAUGUGAUUGUGAACAGCUUCACAAUGCUUGAUUUUCAGCAGUUUAAAUGGAAUCUAAAUUGCAUGCAAUAAAUCAGUGACAUCUUUGAUUCAUUAUAGAUAAUCAAGAGGAA
rnacentral:lncRNA from 10 species